rnacentral:lncRNA from 1 species
CUUUCUCUGAAAGAAAAAAAUAAAUAACACUGUUAUGACACUAUAUUCUUAUUUUUUUUAAAAUAUUUCAUAAAGAAGUAAUAAUAAACAGUUAUACCUACCAAAUUUUCUUCUUUUAGGUUGUGCAAUUUUCUGGAGAAUGUUGGGCUGGGUUAGCAAUGUAUGCGAGCGCAUCAUUGAAGUUAACUGAGCAAGUCGAUCAUGCAUUCCUGCAACUGUUCUUUUUCGUUGAUUAAAAGAUGCAUACCGAUAACAAAGCCUGCAAAAGCAACAUGAAGACGGACAGCUUUGCAGCAGGUUUAUAUUCUUAGAUGCCAGCAGAAACAAGCCAAAACAAAUGGCCGCCUUGGAAACUAUAGGAUAUUAGCCCAAUACAGUAGUAAUACAGUUGAUGAUUUACUUUCAUAUUAAAUUGUGCUUUCUCAGUUGCUGCCAAGCAAGAUGACAGUCAGAUACCAUGGCCAAUGAAGUGUCUACAUCCAACCUGUAUUUUCCAGAUAAGUUCGCGGCUUUCAUAACAGCUGGGCUCAUAUGUUUUGCUGUGUAUACCUGUUGAUGGAAAGCUCCAGCUUCGCCAUUCCCAUUGCUGACAGUUUCGUUCAGUGUUCUUAGCUUGGAUGCUCGCCUUGCUAGUGUUUUUGCUGAAGCUACAUCGCUAGAAACUUUACAGUUUGGGAUGAUGGCAACUUUAGUUGGCUGUGUAGAAAAUUACAUUUUCAUGUGAAACUGUGUGAUGAUUUUGUCAUUUAUUAUAUAUUUUGAAAAAUGGAUUAUACAAAAUAGUAAUGCAAUUACCCGUCCAUUGGUGGAAAUCAGCAUCUCCUUGUUUUUCUUCAGACUGUCAUAAACAAUCUUUUCUGCAAAGGUCUGGAUUUUCUGAGGAACAUGUUGGUGUUUUUUUAAAAUUUCCUCCAACACAGAGACCGCAUUACAGGCAGAGAAUGCUUGCUCUCGCUCAGUUCAUUUUUUGCUGCAAACAUGUGCUCUACUAUCAGUGUACGAUACACUGUUGUCGCAACUUGUACAUUUAAGUUGUACGAUUUGUGAUGCCGAAUUGAAAUCAUGCACUGACAUUGGAUAAGUGCACACAAGACAAGAACGUUUAUUAACACGAAGUGUAUUAAAUAAUUUUGUCAAACAAACCGAGCAAUAAUGAUGUGCGUACUUUGAUACUAAAUUGUCUAGUGAUAAAAUGCAGCUACAUAUUGUACACAUAUAAUUUUCAGGAUUUAUCUGAUUGUGUACUAUGAAUUUUGAAUCAAUUGUGUUAUUGCUUACUUUCAGAAAUAAUUCAUUUAAUUUCACUGUGAUUUUCUUUCCUGGUUUGCUUUGUUCAGUAAAUAAAUAGCAUGUGAA